rfam:Salmo salar isolate Sally breed double haploid chromosome ssa01, whole genome shotgun sequence.
UGGCUCAGUUGGUAAAGCAUGGCACUUACAAUACUAGGGUUGUGGGUUUGAUUCCCAU